CCAGCCCUGGUCACGUCCUGCCUCAGGUUUGGGACUCUACCCUCUGCCCCUCCUCAUUUAGGUGCCUCCUGUGCCUUGUUUGGGACCUUCCUCCUUGUUCCUCCUCAUAGUCAGGCUAUCCUCCCUCCUGCUUAUCCUUGAGGGACCCUCUUACCUACCUGUCUCCUCAGUUUCUGUUCAGAGGCAAGCUCCCUCUUCACUUCCCCACCCACGGUGCUUUAGGUGCAAGUUGUUAAAUUUCUUCUGAACCAGUGCUUCCCAGUACCCGAGGAUUAUACUAGCAUGAACCUUCUGGCAGUGAGUGAGUAGGGGUUCUUUAAACAGUCCCCUGACCUAGUUAAAACAGGGAUUAAAUAAAAAUAUCAAAACUGUCCUACUCAGACAGAUCUGUUGCUUCCCCUCCAUUUUACUAUGCAUGCGUCUUUCAAAUGAGAUCUGAAAAGAGGGUCCUGACCACACUGUGUCGAAAAGAUGUAUGUGCUGUACAGGUAAAAGAAGCAGUUAGGACUUGCAAUACACACACACAACAGAUAAAGUUGAGGAAGUACUGUAGUCAUAUUUCUGGCCAUACCAACACUUUAAGUUCAAACUCUCUGUAAAAUAAACUUGGCUUCUAUAUGUGA